CGAGAAUGAGAUAUAAGCCAAGUGUUGAGGGUGAGGGCCGCAUUUGAGAGGACGGGUACCAAGGAGCAAGAUCGCUAGCAAUCUCACUAACAACACUGAAGAUGACCGCCGAAUCGGACCGAGAAACAUGGUGGAUCCCCUGAAAUGUCAAAUUUGACGCCAACAUACAGCAUGCCCAACCGAAGGUCAGUGCACAGCCCUGGAGGAGAGGUAGACACAUCCACCGGGAAGGAGAGAGGGGAAAGGUAGACUCAUCCACAGGCCAGGAGAGAGAGGGGAUCUGUUCAUGAUGUCAGGUGGACAGCAUGAUUUGAUAGCACUAUAACGCUCCUCACUUGCAGAUAAAUUCCAUCACUUUGUCAAGGACAUUUUGAGAUGCAAUGCUACACAUAGUCACUUCUUAUAAUGCAGAUGCAUCUCCAUAAACAGAGUACGCUAUUUAUCCACAUACAGAGUACGCUAACAUCGACGGGGCUGUAGGGGAGCGUUUCAAGUUCCUUGGUGUCCACAUCACCAACGAACUAUCAUGGUCCAAACAUACCAAGACAGUCGUGAAGAGGGCAUGACAAAACCUUUUCCCCCUCAGGAGAGUGAAAAGAUUUGGCAUGGGCCCCCAAUCCUCAAAUGGUUCAACAGCUGCAGCAUCGAGAGCAUACUGUUGCAUCACCGCCUGGUAUGGAAACUGCUCGGCAUCUGACCGUAAGGUGCUACAGAGGGUAGUGGGAACAGCCCAGUACAUCACUGGGGCCAAGCUGCCUCCCAUCCAGGACCUAUUUAAUAGGUGUCAGAGACUCCAGUCACUCAAAUUAUAGACCGUUUUCUCUGCUACCGCAUGGCAAGCGGAACCAGAGCACCAAGUCCAGCACCAAAAGACUCCUCAACAGCUUCUACCCCCAAGCCAUUAGACUGCUGACCAAUUCCUAAAAAUUGCCACCGGACAAUUUACAUUGACCCCAAAACCCCCUGUAUAUGGCCCCUUUAUUUUUAUUCAUAUUGUGUUACUUUUUAUUAUUACUUUUUAUUUUACCCAACUUGGUAAAUAUUUUCUUCUCUUGAAUUGUUAGUUCAAUUUUGGGAUCGGUGUCCCUUCCACUAGACGGUUGAGCUAACAUAGGCUAAUGCGAUUAGCAUGAGGUUAUAAGUAACAAGAACCUUUCCCAGGACAUAGACAUAUCUGAUAUUGGCAGAAAGCUUAAAUUCUUGUUAAUCUAACUGCGCUGUUAUUAAUAAACAAAUAAGGCACA